rnacentral:rRNA from 1 species
ACACAUGCAAGUCGAACGGGAAUCUUCGGAUUCUAGUGGCGGACGGGUGAGUAACGCGUAAGAAUCUAACUUCAGGACGGGGACAACAGUUGGAAACGACUGCUAAUACCCGAUGUGCCGCAAGGUGAAAACUAAUUGGCCUGAAGAAGAGCUUGCGUCUGAUUAGCUAGUUGGUGGGGUAAGAGCCUACCAAGGCGACGAUCAGUAGCUGGUCUGAGAGGAUGAGCAGCCACACUGGGACUGAGACACGGCCCAGACUCCUACGGGAGGCAGCAGUGGGGAAUUUUCCGCAAUGGGCGAAAGCCUGACGGAGCAACGCCGCGUGAGGGAGGAAGGUCUUUGGAUUGUAAACCUCUUUUCUCAAGGAAGAAGUUCUGACGGUACUUGAGGAAUCAGCCUCGGCUAACUCCGUGCCAGCAGCCGCGGUAAUACGGGGGAGGCAAGCGUUAUCCGGAAUUAUUGGGCGUAAAGCGUCCGCAGGUGGUCAGCCAAGUCUGCCGUCAAAUCAGGUUGCUUAACGACCUAAAGGCGGUGGAAACUGGCAGACUAGAGAGCAGUAGGGGUAGCAGGAAUUCCCAGUGUAGCGGUGAAAUGCGUAGAGAUUGGGAAGAACAUCGGUGGCGAAAGCGUGCUACUGGGCUGUAUCUGACACUCAGGGACGAAAGCUAGGGGAGCGAAAGGGAUUAGAUACCCCUGUAGUCCUAGCCGUAAACGAUGGAUACUAGGCGUGGCUUGUAUCGACCCGAGCCGUGCCGAAGCUAACGCGUUAAGUA